UACGUAGGGUCCAAGCGUUAUCCGGAAUCACUGGGCGUAAAGCGUGCGUAGGUGGCGUGUUAAGUGUGAUGUUAAAUCGCGGGGCUCAACCCUGUCGGUGCAUCGCAUACUGGCAUGCUAGAGGGAAGCAGAGGCAAGUGGAAUUGGUAGUGUAGCAGUGAAAUGCGUAGAUAUUACCAGGAACACCAAUGGCGAAGGCAGCUUGCUGGGCUUCUUCUGACACUGAGGUACGAAAAGCGUGGGGAGCGAACAGG
rnacentral:rRNA from 1 species